UCUCCGGGCCCAAAACUUACUCAAGUCAGAC
rnacentral:piRNA from 1 species